GGAAGAGGAGUGGAUUGGAAUUUGCUUGGUCUCAAACGGGGUAUGACAGCAAAAAGCUAGCCUGAGAACUGCAAGCCUAGCCAAGCACUAGCAGGAGGAGUUUAACGAAAUGUACUGGGAUCAGGAUCACAACGAAGAGGUUCCCGUGGAGGAAUAAAACAGCCUAAAGCUGAGUUUUUCAGAUGGCCCAUCCUUGAACAGUUAUGAAUACCGUGUGGACAUUCAAUACCUGGAGCAAGAAUAAAACUGAAGUUCUACAGAUAUCUGAGGAGAAUCUCUUGAAUAAGCCAGCAGGACUGUACACUGGGAACUAUGGGUUGGGGCCUAAAUAGGAAAAGACAGGAAAUCAAGUGAUGUUCAAAACUCUAAUAAAAUAGAAAUCACACAGAAUCCUGUUCGGGGUCAGAAUAAUUUUACAUACAUACGUGUGUGUGUGUAUA